rnacentral:rRNA from 1 species
CGGGACGGGUGAGUAAUGUCUGGGAAACUGCCUGAUGGAGGGGGAUAACUACUGGAAACGGUAGCUAAUACCGCAUAACGUCGCAAGACCAAAGAGGAGGACCUUAGGGCCUCUUGCCAUCGGAUGUGCCCAGAUGGGAUUAGCUAGUAGGUGGGGUAACGGCUCACCUAGGCGACGAUCCCUAGCUGGUCUGAGAGGAUGACCAGCCACACUGGAACUGAGACACGGUCCAG